UCCACGAGAGUUAAAAAAAUAUUGCUGAAUGACUUUCCAAUUAUUCUUACAGAACUUCUUUUGAAAGUUGAAAGCAAAAUAAAUUUUGCAGCUCAAAAUUGAGUGGUCGAGGAAUAUUGUAUGUGAGAAAUCAAAGUCAUUCAUUUUCGCAGGAAAAUCCACAAUAAAAUUGAAAUAAACUCCGCCAGAAACAAUUUCUAAAAAAUAUCUCAAUUUUUUUAUUCCAUUCUCGAUGAGCCAUUACGACCCUUCCCGGCAAUCACGCCUCAAUUCAGUCUGGGCCACAUCUGGCGAACGUCAUUUGAUAGAAAGUAAAAAUACUCAAAUUUCCAGUGUACAAAAUUUGACGAUGAUCAGGCUCAAAAAAAAACUUGACGAUAAAGACUAACCGAUAUUUUCAAAUUUCACAAAAUGUUUUUGCACGAAUUAUUAUGUGGAGAGCAUCUAAGAGGUUUGUAGUGGAUUUCUUGACAUACGUAGGAGGUUGUAUUCAUCCUAGCCCCGACCUCAAUGACCUGGAUGACAUAUCAGAUGCUUUCGAGAUUGAGGAUGUACAAGUUCAUGUCCAGCCGCAUACCUUCAGGGUACCAGUAGAAGAACCUGAGCAACAACAACAGCAAUGUGAGCCACUUCAGCAUCGACCGGAUGCGCCAGGAAUAAGAAGGCGCUCGCCGCCCGAAGUCGUAAUAAAAGUGCGACAGGCCAUUGAGGAGAUGAUGAUACUGCCAAUGGAGACAUGUGAAAAUCCCCCGGGGGAUCACGUUCAUGUAUCACCGGUGUCUAAUCAACUAGUAAAUUAUGGCACUAAUGAAUUUUUUCAUUAGACCAAACGCAACUCCGCAAUGACUAUCAGGUACGUCAUGCGAAGACAAUCAUUGGCUGAGCCCCACCCGUUUGAAAUCACCAUCAAUUUCGCAUAUGUAAACCAAUCAUGCUGCAACCAAUAGUGAAUCAAUAAAAGGGUUUGAGAAUCGUCAGAGAAAAAGAAAUUAAGUCCCCGUGAAAAAAUUAAUGAUUGGCUCAAACGAAACCAAUGAUUCCACACGCAAGCCUAGCGCCCGCUGAUCCAGUUUUCAUGCUGUCCUCGGUAUUACCUCUACCAAGGUCGUCUGGUUUCUCAUGGACUACGAUUGUGCGUCCAAUUGCCCCACGUACACCGGUUAAUGUUAAAUAAUGAUCCAUUAUGUCGAUCUGUGCUGUACCAUCGGCACCAGCCUCGAUAUUACCAAGAUCACCAACAUGACGGAGGGGAUCCAUUGGUGAUCCAUGAGGUGUCUGAAAUUGCAAUUUAGUUUAAAAGUUCAGAAUGAGACUUGUCGAUUAUUCCGCAAAGCUGAUGCCCUAAAAAAAUAUUCACCCCAAUAUUUUUGUAUUCCUGUGAAUUCCCAAAUUUAUUAAAAAUAAAGUGAACGUUCUCCAACUUGAAUUUAUGCAGUUCCUUUCAACUAAUGCACUAGUGAUUACUUCAAACUAUUUAACCUACCAUAUAGGGAUUAUAAUGAGCUCCAGCCGACAUGCAUCCCUUGCUGAUGUCUCCCUUCUCAUGAACAUGGAAGCCAUGUUGUCCCUCACUGAGCCCCAUGAUACUUCCGUUGAUCCUGACUCCUUCUGGAUAUUGUUCCAGAGUGAGGACUCCCAUAGGACCUUCUACUGGCAUCCCAUUCUCAUUGUACGCCUUUACUUCGACCAUUGCUUUUGUUCCUAUCGC